rnacentral:misc_RNA from 1 species
AUGGUUGAGGCAGCAGGAAGAA